rnacentral:lncRNA from 1 species
CCGAGUCUCUCUCUCUCUCUCCUCCUCCGUCUCUCUCUCGCCGCUGCUCUUCUCCAAUGCAACGCCGUCGUCUCCGGCCACCCUAGACUGCGAGACCACCACCAAAACGAUCUUCUCCUUCUUCUCUUCAAAACCCAGUGAUCAAAUUCCACACACACCACUGUGUUUAUCGGAAUCCGGCAAGCUUCCGGCGGCGACUCAACUUUUGAAGGUAGGUUUCAGUUCGCCUCCCUUCCCUCUUCCUUUUUGUGUCCUUGUAUGUUUGAUUUAUGCCCUAAUUCAAGAAAGACCCCUUUUUCUACCUUUUCUGAAUUUCACUGUUCAUUUUCUUCCGGCGAGUCCAUUCUCGAAGUUCUGGUGAGGCUAUCGAGCUUUGGCGAGUUUAGAAACGUUUAAUUGGAGCCCAGACGCGUCUUGAGGAUGAAUUGGAGGCAGCUGCUACGUUGGUCAAGAUAAUUUCAAGGUGAGAUGGGUUUUGCCCUGUUUUGAGAAUUUAACUAUAGUGUGUCUGUACCGUGUUGCUAUCGAAUAUAUGGAUAUUUGGUUGAAGUUGAGUUUGAGUUUGUCUGAUGUUUGGCUUGAUGUUGGUGGAAGGCAGAGGCUCUGUUGAGGAAGUUUUGUGCGGCUGAGCUUGACAUGGGUGUGAAGAGCACAUCCUUGGCUGCAAAGGGUAGUUUUGGGGUGCGGUUAUCAUUCUUGAUAAAAAGGUGAAUUGCUAAGCUUUAUAGUUUUAGAAGAGGUUGUUAAUUUUGGGGUAUUUUGCAUUGGUUUUGAGCUGGUGAUUAAAGAAUCGGAGUUUAGGGAUUUAAGGAAACAUUGUUAAUAAAAGAAAUGACCUAGUAUUAAUGUGUUGGUAAUUAUUUGGGUGGUGUUGAUUCGUUGACGGAUUUGUAGUUAUGUCUAGAUAAGUAAUCGUAUGUCUAUUCUUAAAUAGGAGAGUCAAGUUGUAUAGGUAUUGGGAAAUGUUGAUCUAGUUGGCAUGGUAAACUCGAGUGAAUUGCAUUAUCAAUAUUAUCGACUCUCGAUUAAUAAAUUGCCUAGGAUAGGCUGUCACAUCUCGGUUCUUAAAUUAAAUUACAGUUAUUUACUUUGGUAUUACUUUGGUCUUUUACCGUUUUACGUAACCGUUUACUAUUUAAGACUCCAAAAGUUGACUUUUUCUUCCGUUUGAAAUUUGGGAAAACUUUCUUCACGAAAGUCAGAGAGGAGGUGUUAAAAUCGGAGUUAGCAUGAAAAAGUUAUCAGAUAAAAGGGUAAAUUUUGAGUGGUAAAAAUGGGGUGAAUUUUAGUAGGCUUUAUUUGUUGUGGGUAUUAAGUUGGACCGGGUGUGAAGCAGCCCCAACACCCANNNNNNNNNNNNNNNNNNNNCUCUCUCUCCCCGACCCGCCGGAUUCCUCGGCUCCGACCGCCGCCGUCCGGCCACCAUAGACCGGCGCACCAGUCCCAAACGGUCGGCCGUCGACCCAGCCUUCUCCCUGGACCAGUGAGAGCUGCCCUAGCGCCGCCAUGAGGGAGAGAGCUCGCCCGGAAACUCCGCUUGCGUUGUGGAGUCCGGUCGCCGGAACUCGCUACUCCGGCCACCAUCGCCGGUGAUUUGGGUCUCAUUUGGAAGAGCUUGUCUUGUGUAACAAUCCCCUAUAAGGUAAUUAACCAAUUCGAAAUGUGUAGGAAGAUUUUCGGUCUAGGGUUUGAAUUGGGGAUUUUUGGAUGUUUUGAUUCGAUUACCCUAGUUAGGCUUAGAAUUGGACUAAGUGCUAGUUAUGGAAGUCGUUGUGCGUAUUGAGAAGAUUGUUGUGCUAAAAUUUGGGAAGCAUUAGAGGUCGCCAGAGUACGGUUGCCUGCCACCACUGCCGGCGGAGCAGGCGGCGGCGCCACCCCUUAGGGGUAGUUUUUCAUGUUUUUGGGAUUGUUUUAAUGAGAGGAGUUUAAUGAUGUGAAGUUUGGAAUUUUUGAAGGGAGUUUUGGUUAGGUUUGGGAUUUUUCAAAGACUGAGAAUUUUGGCGGUUGUUAGAAUGAAAAUCUGGCCGUUGGAUUUCCUUGGUAUUUAUUCUAGAAUAUUAGAAUUGAUGAAUUAAGGUUGUGGUGGAGUUUGGUAUGAAUCCGAUAAGCUUAACCCUAGAUAGGGUAGUGGGUUAGGCAGAAGAUUUUCAGGGUGUUCUAUCAAAGCAUUUAUUUUUCCAAAAAUCGGAAUGUGGUUCUAAUUAUGCUUAUGGUGUUAGGAUUCAUGAAGACCUCACACGUAUGGCGUUGCGGAUAUCGUCGGGCUUAUGCCUAAAUUAGUGAGUGGACAUUUUAGUUUUUAACUAAUAUGAAUGCAUGAUUUAUAAGUUGUCCAUUAUAUAUUUUUCCAAGCUUAGAUUAUAAUUACAACUUUUGAAUUGGUUAUGGAAUUUAUUUGAGAUUGGCAUAUUGGUUAUGAAAUUUAUUUGAGAUUUACAUAUUGGUUAUGUUUUCGAUAAUGAACUUAUGGAGUUGAGCUUGGGUUAGAGAUUUGGUAUUUGAGUUUUAAUAUUCUUUAUGAUUUCCGAAUUUGAGAUUAUAUCCAGAUUUGCAUAUAUCCUGGUUUUCGAAAGAUGAUAAUUAUUUAAGUUAAUUAUUUCAUUGAGCAUUUUAACGUGUGGGACACGUCGUUGAAUUUAAUUAAUUUCUUUGCUCUUUGAAUUCCUUUGAGUACGGUUGGGAAUCGUACUUAUGCUUUAGUAUGAGUUUCGGGGAAACUCACAUGGAUUUAUGUUUCUUUAUUUAUGUCAUACUUGUCGGAUAAUAUAUUACUAAUGCUAGCAUAAUGCUAGCAUGUUGUUCAACCUUUCGAGGCGAUGUGGCUUCCACGUUUUUAGUGGGGUUACUGAAGCCCUUUCUGCCUUGGGUGAUGUGAUGUAGUCGACGACAUCACGCAAGCCCUGCACUCUUUCUGUUAUCAUGACGUGAAGGUGUAGGGAGUAUGGGCGUAUUUUUGCCUGGGAGGCACCCGAGCCUGAGAGGCUCACUUGUAUGGCUAUAUCUACUUCUUAUUUAUUGUUGUUGACCUGACUAGCGGGGCUAGUCCAUCUUUUUGAUAUUCCUUUUUACAAAGAUCUUUAUGAAUCCUUGUUGUUGUUUUGACUAGCGAGCCUAGUCCGUUUUCUCGGGAAUUUCUUUUGAAGGCGUUAUCAACACUUGCAUGCAACGGAUUUAUUGCUUAUCAGAAAGUGGGAAAGUAUUUAAGUUUUGGUUUCUUAUCCUAUGUCCUUUUAUUUAUUUAUUUUUGUUCACUCACUCUAACGUUUUGAAUUACUUUCCUCUGAGCCCUUUGGUUUCAAAUGCCCAGUUUGCAGGCUAAGUUUAAAUGAGGUCGAGCGUACAUGGAGUCGAGACAUAAUUAGAGGCUGCUUCCGCUUACUCUUUAUUCAUUGUUUUUCUUUCAUUAUAGAUGCUCUGAUGACCAUUAGAGAUUGUUAUUAGUUGAGUAUGGUUGGAAGUAUUUUGGGAGAUGUUAUGAACUUGGAGAGCAGGAAAGCUGCAGGAGUUGAGGUUGGAUGAUUUAUAAUAGAAGUGUCUAUUUGGAAUUUUUUCAAGUAAAGGUUGUCCAUUUUCAAGGUAAAUUAUGCCGAAUUUUUAGUAAAUUUUCCUUGGAGGUGGACCCUGCAGGAUUUACUUCAGGUUUCAAGGUGAAAUUCGGAGUGGGUCCUGUCAUAGGCAUCGAGUGUCCAUAGUAAUUUGACGAAUUACUAUGUGAAACCUAAUGAUAAAUUUAAGUAAUGAAUCUAUUGUUCACUUAUAUGCAUUAUAGUUUUUAUUAAGGACUUGUUCGUUAUGCUUAGAAGUGAAAGAAGGGGUUGUAUAAAGAAAGGACCAUUAGGAGGAUUUGCCGAGCUCAUCUUCGGAGUUUUAACUUGACAACUAGUGCACCCGAAUCACUAUGAGUGGACAUUUGUUUGAAAUUAAAUGCAUGCAGUGAUUUUAUAUUAAAUGAAUGAUUUUAUUUUACUGAAUCUAAAUUUG